UACGGGGGGGGGCAAGCGUUGUUCGGAAUUAUUGGGCGUAAAGAGCUCGUAGGCGGUUUGUCGCGUCUGCUGUGAAAACUGGAGGCUCAACCUCCAGCCUGCAGUGGGUACGGGCAGACUAGAGUGCGGUAGGGGAGAUUGGAAUUCCUGGUGUAGCGGUGGAAUGCGCAGAUAUCAGGAGGAACACCGAUGGCGAAGGCAGAUCUCUGGGCCGUAACUGACGCUGAGGAGCGAAAGCAUGGGGAGCGAACAGG
rnacentral:rRNA from 1 species